AACGAACGCUGGCGGCAUGCCUAACACAUGCAAGUCGAACGAAGCCUUCGGGCUUAGUGGCGCACGGGUGCGUAACGCGUGGGAAUCUGCCCUUGGGUUCGGAAUAACAGUUAGAAAUGACUGCUAAUACCGAAUGAUGUCUUCGGACCAAAGAUUUAUCGCCCAAGGAUGAGCCCGCGUCGGAUUAGCUAGUUGGUGAGGUAAAGGCUCACCAAGGCGACGAUCCGUAGCUGGUCUGAGAGGAUGAUCAGCCACACUGGGACUGAGACACGGCCCAGACUCCUACGGGAGGCAGCAGUGGGGAAUAUUGGACAAUGGGCGAAAGCCUGAUCCAGCAAUGCCGCGUGAGUGAUGAAGGCCUUAGGGUUGUAAAGCUCUUUUUACCCCGGGGAUGAUAAUGACAGUACCGGGAGAAUAAGCCCCGGCUAACUCCGUGCCAGCAGCCGCGGUAAU
rnacentral:rRNA from 1 species